UACGUAGGGGGCAAGCGUUGUCCGGAAUCAUUGGGCGUAAAGCGCGCGUAGGCGGCCCGAUAAGUCUGCUGUGAAAGUCCAGGGCUCAACCCUGGAAUGCCGGUGGAUACUGUCGGGCUAGAGUUCGGAAGAGGCAAGUGGAAUUCCUGGUGUAGCGGUGGAAUGCGCAGAUAUCAGGAGGAACACCUAUAGCGAAGGCAGCUUGCUGGGACGACACUGACGCUGAGGCGCGAAAGCGUGGGGAGCAAACGGGG
rnacentral:rRNA from 1 species